GAAGCCGAAGCCCAAGUCCUUUACACCGCCGGAGAUGGCGAGCUCCCUCACCGCGUUCAAGUUCUCCAUAGGCUGGAGAGCUCUGGAACUACCAGCUCGAGUCCCAAUCGCACCCAAACCCUCCCGCAGUUGUUUGAAUCUCCGAAGAACCCGCUCUUCCAGAAUUACAUGUGAUUACUCGUGCUUUGAAGUUAAGGAUGUUAGUUAUCGACCUCCCGGCACCCAGAUCAGCCUUCUAAAUGCAGUUAAUUUUUCACUUCCAGAGAAAAGUUUUGGUUUAAUAUUUGGACGAAGUGGAAGUGGAAAAACUACUCUGUUGCAGAUUCUUUCAGGGCUUAGUAAACCAACUUCAGGUUCCAUUUAUAUUCAAAGAUAUGGAAAUGAUGGUAAUCCAAAUCAAUCUCCUGAGCCCUUACCCCCAGAGAGAGUUGGUAUUGUUUUUCAGUUUCCCGAGAGGUACUUCGUGGCAGAUAAUGUGCUUGAGGAAGUUACGUUUGGGUGGCCAAGGCAAAGGGGUGACCUGCAAUUCAAGGAGCAUCUUGCUUUGAGACUCCAAAGAGCAAUUAAUUGGGUCGGUUUAGAUGGGAUCUCCUUGGACAAAGAUCCUCAUACCCUUAGUGGAGGCUAUAAACGUCGGCUUGCCUUGGCAAUUCAACUAGUACAAACUCCAGAUUUAUUGAUACUGGAUGAGCCUCUUGCUGGUCUUGAUUGGAAGGCACGUGCAGACGUUGUGAAGCUUUUGAAGCUUCUAAAGAAAGAAUUAACUGUACUAGUUGUCAGCCAUGACCUCAAAGAGUUAGCAACUCUAGUUGAUCGAUCCUGGAGGAUGGAAAUGGGUGGAAUUCUAAGGGAAGAGCCCCUACCGAUUUAAAUUUGGGAAUAUGCUUUUUCCUUCAUCAACAUCUGGUGCUGCCUGAUUGUGAUAUUUAAUAACUAUUAUAAGCUUGCCUUUUAGACCGCCUUGACUGCCAUGAAGAGUAUUUUUUUACUGUGGAGGAAUCACGAAGACAGGAUUGCCAGGCUGCCAGCCAUUAAAUUUAUCGUACCCAACAAGCAUCUUUGGAGGUUAGGUGAGCUGAGGAGAAGGCUGUGGUAGGCUUGGAGACAAAACCCUACAGCAAUCUUUAAUCUCAGAGACCCCUUUUGCAAGUGUGUUAUAAAGAAAACUGUUGCAUGGCAGAGAAAGCGAAGAGUCUUGGGCAAAAUGAUGAGCAAAUUUGCUGUACGUGUUCGAGACCACCAGCAUUUAGGUCACUGAAUAUUCGGAUUUUCAGUAAUUUUUGUCUGAAUUUUUAGCAAUUCGAGCAACAAAUAGGAGAAUUCUUUGGACAGAAGGAUGGAUUGACCGAUGGGAAAAGAGUACAGGAAUUUUUUAAUAGAACGAUCCGUGAUGGAGUGGUUGAUCUAAGCAGGUAUGGUUGUUGCUCUACGUGUUCAUUCUUGUUUUCUUCUUCUAGUACCAAACAGCAUCUUUCGUUUUCCAUAAAAACCAGAAAAAUAGGGAUAGUGUCCUUACCCCUAUAAUUGCCGACCAUAAUGAAGGUCAGACAAGCUUGCCCAAAUCCGUCAGUGUCCCACAAAUAGGGUGAAGUAGGGAUUUGAGUCAGAUGAAGAUUAUCUAUAAUUAUCUGUUUGAAGUGUAGGCAAUUCGAACAAGUGGUUGUAAGAAACCACUUAUAAAGUUCAUCUAACCAGAUAAGUAAUGAGGCAAUCCAAUUUUUAUUUGAUGAGAUAGAUUUUAUAAGUAAACUCUCACAAACCUAUUUGAAUUGUCUACAAUUCAGACAAAUAAUUGUAGACAAUUCCUAUCCGUUUGAAGCAUCCUCAUUUUCAGCUAACCAACGAGCUGCUAUCAAACGCAAGAGUUGCCACUUUUGGAGGACUAGAGACAAGUGGGUCACGCAUGCUAUUCUAAAAUUCAAACCAAAACAAAUGCUCGAGUCCGCACAAGCCCGCACAAGCCCGCACAAGCAUGGGCUAUUCUGUGGGGUCUUUGCAAUGACAGAUAGUGACCAUGUGAAUCCCACGUGAUAAUCUAGAAAAAUUGAUUGCUUUGCCAAUUUAUAAGUGACCAUGUGAAUCCCACAAAAUCUUUUGACGAGACCACAAAUCAAGUAUUAGGAAGAUGGUCAUAGUCACGUCUCCCUCUUGCCCUAUCUAUUUUUAUUCUAUGUGUAAAGCAUAAUUUUCUCUUCUUUUUUUUUUUGUUAUAAAUUAUUUAUAAAGUUGCUUGACGGUUCACAUUGGGACUACCAUUGAUAAGCAUUAUGUAUAUUAAUUGUUAC